GAUUCUUUUGAUUGAAAGCGAUUAAAAUAUUGUUGCAACGGUUGGUAAAUAAGUCAAGGUCCAAGGUAAUCAAUUUUUAUCGACGUUUCAAUUAAAGGAGAAGAAAAAUUUAUAUCAGAUAAAGAAGUAAUAUUGGAAAAAGUAUAACUGAGGGAUUUGAUGUCUGGAUGCAGGCAACCCAUAAUACAUCAUUAGUAUUUAUUCAGCGUCUGUGCCGGGAAACUUUUAUGUAUAUUUUAUUUAAAGUUGUUGAAAUAAAAAUGUGUUUGUUCAGUCGGAAGUGCUGUUUAAUUGAAAAGCUUUUUAUUGUUUUUUGGCGAUUUGCUGACAUGAGUUGAAAUGAUGAGUUAUGAAAGAUUCAAGCAUUAAUGUAUUUCUUGGUCGUAACUAUCUGAAAUCGAUCGGCUCAAGUUCAGACAUAAAUAAAAUAACCUGCAACGACAAUAGAAAAGAAAUGAAAUCGCUCAGAAAUCAUCAGUUAUUCUCGAUGUCAACCAGGAUUUGUCGAUGAUAAGAACGCUCAUGCUCCACGUCUACUUAUCGAUAAAAAUAAACCGAUUUAAUAAACUUGAAUUAGCAUUAAAAAGAGAUACGGCUGAAACUCAUCAAAGUCGAAUUUUUUCCCCGAUAUAUUUUAUUAAUCAGAGCAGGAAAAAACACAACCGCUUUGUUUAUCCUUAACGAAUACGAAAUUAAUUUUAAAGAUUUAAAAGCUAAAACCCGCCUCUGCAAAAAAUGGAAUACGUAAUGAAAAAGAUGUCUGGAUGAAAUUUUUCGCACGAACGCGAGUGGACUUCUAAGCGUCGAUUUAAAAGCUUGAAAUUUUUAACGAUGAAUUAAUUCUAUCGCCAUGUUUUGGCUUUUUCAUUUGAAAUUUCAGUCGCGUCCCGAAUUUCUUUUUAACUCAAAACUUAAUUACACCCAAUUUCGGCUCGAUGCGACUCUCAAGGUCGUCUUGCGACAUGUAGUGACGCAACGGCAAGCCCUCGAAGAACGAAGGCAUAAAGGAGCCGCUGAUCUCGUAUAAAAAUGGUGGCACACUAAGUAAUCGAUAAAUCCAGACUAAUUCUGAGCUUAUUGCUGCACUCCCCUCUGACUUCCCGUUUCAUCCACGACAGGCGGCAUUUAUAGCCGCGUUUACAUCUUCGGUUAACGGCAUUUUUCUGCACCUCGCGCUCGUGUGUGGUCGGUAAAAAACACGGCCUUUUUGUCGGGGGCAUUCAAAUAUUAAUAGCUAUAUUCGAGACAGUAAAAAACUGUUAAACAUAAUACCGAGGGCACAUUAAUAAAGCGGGCAGUGAAUCAUUAUGUGAGCUGUAGCGGCGGUAAAUUGGACGAUCGAAAUAAAAAAUACGAGGGGAAGUUUUUAAUGGAGCUGUUGAUUGGAAUGAUGAGCUCUAUAAUUAAUCGACGAUGGACGAUAAAACUAUCGAAAUCUUCUAAUAAUCCGUUUUAAUAAAUCAAUUCGGCUGCGGCUAAUGGAGGAGACGAGACGUUCUAGAGCGGAAAGAAACGAUUACAUCAUUUAUCACACCAACGGACUAAAUCAUUUAUCUAAAUUCAAUUAUGUAUGAAAAAAUUAUAUAGAUUUGUUUUUACGAUCAGCCAAUAACCUCUUAUCGGUCAUUACAAAUUUAUUUAUUUUGCGUGCAACAGGCAGAAAAUUUGAAUUCGCAACAAAUAUUUGCAUUCAUAGGUAAAUAGUCUGUUUGGAAAUAGAAUAAAUUGGAAAAAGAGCUUCCGGCAACAAUUAUGAAAAAUAUUUACAUAUUAACGCGAAUGAAACUACCCAGCCACAAAAAGUGGGAGUUAGAUCCAAGCUAGAGUGUUUAAAUAAAUGCUUAAAAAAUAUUAGUAUACAGGUGUCCGUUUUUUGAGCUCCACCAGUUUUUGAAUUAUUGGAAAAAACGGAAAUUUGUUAUUUUCGUUUUUAUUUUUUCAAAGGAAAACUAAAAGAACGUUUUUAACUAGACAAGAAAUCUAGAUGUGUCAUUCCAUUUUCCAAGACGUUCUUGAUGUCAGAGUUACAACACUCAACUUUAUUUUUUCUUAUAGAAGCCAUAUUCGCUUUUUGUAUUCUUGAAAAGUGUUUUUUUUUUCUGAUUACAACGAUGUACACAUUAUAUCAACGAAUCUUACAUGCUGAUCAUUUUUGCGAAGAGUGCUUGGAAAAGACGCUAACAAUUUUGUUUUUAAACAAACUAGAUCUUGGAAGUUUAUAAUUUAUAAUAACUGUCCAAAUUGUCCCAUUUUUUUGUUUCUGAUAUUGAGUAUAAAAUAUUUGGUAAUAAGUGUGGAAGUAAUGAAUAAAUUAUGAGAUAGUCUUUUAUAUAAAUGUAUUUUCCAAUUUUUCGUGAAAAAUUUACAUAAAUGCGGAACCGAUUGAUAUCAAUUUAAUGCUUUUAAUUUAAAUAAAAUUUAUGAUUGGAAUAAAAUUGGAAUCGGCGAUGAUUCCAAAUCAGUUUUUUCUUAUUGGGCCGUUGUAUUUAAUUAGAGUUUGCCGUUGGUUUAAAGUUCGUUAGUGCUAAACUAAUCUUUCUGUUUACGCGUCCGCACUUUGUCAAUAAUAAACCGCUGGCAAUAAUACAUCAGCAUUCGUUAUUAAAACGAAAUAGCUAUUAUUAACAUUUAUAAAGCUGUCGGCUGACCAUUUCAGUUUAGUGAAUCCGAAUUCACAUUACAUGAAUGAAUGACAAACCGAGCCAUUAGCUAUUAUAGCUUAUUCAACGUCCUGUAUAUGUAUAAUGAAGAGGGUUGAGCGGCCGGACGGCGGCGAUUGUGGCGUUCGGCGGUGGUUCACACCCGCAACCACCUAUCUGCUCAUUAGCCGAGUCUCGCGGUGCAUUGCACACUCUAUCAACAUUAAAUUAACCACCAGCCGCGUUGCUAAACACUGCACAUUACUAAAACGGACCGACAUGCAUUCAGGGGACGGCGGCGAAUAAUUACGUUUCCAUCAACGCUAAUAGAUUUUUCUAUUGCGACAAGCGGGUCAACGGCCAAAAAAGUGUGCUAAUUCGUUUCGAUAUUUAAUCCCCGAGCGAAUUACCUUCGACCUUUGAUUACAGAUAACGCCGCUAAUAUCGGCCUUGCAAUAAAAGCGACUUUGAUAAAUCCAUUUAAUAAUAAAGAAAGCCCACGUCGCGCUACCGCUUAUCUAAUGGUAGUUUUGCAUUAGCGUCGUGAUUAAACGGCCGCCGAGUAAUUACCGGUCGCAGCCUUCGAUACCCUGGCCCCUUUCUCAGUCGGAGGCAAUCAGCGGCUGGUACUAAGUAUGGCGUGCCAUCUAUAUUUCCACCCCACAAAAUGAUGAUCGCGUGCGAACACCGCUGUCUCGUGAGCGAAUUAAAUAACGUUGCUCAAAGAUUUACCGUCGACGCGCGAGGAGUCCAUUACUUAUGGAACAAUGGUCACGAACGUCCAUGAUUCAUGACGCCGACUGAUGCCUGUUUGAUGCGACUAGUGGUUUGCUCGAGAACUUACAAACUUCGGGACGAAAAAACACAAAUUGCUUUUUUAUUGCCGGUACAAGGAAUUCCGAGACUUAACUACGGGAAAAUUGCACCCAAGACGGAGGUAUUAAUAAAUUACGAGCCUUGGACCGAAUUAAAAUGUGGCGGAUGCGCCGGGCAAAUAAAACACGUUCUCAGUAAAAUAAGCCUUUAUUGCUGACAAAACAAGUAAAACUACAAAUCCUGUUGAAAUGAAUAAAGUUCGCGGUUAAAAUUCCAAAA